GUCCAGAGGGUGAGUGGAGCACCCAGCAACAAUUGAAGCUAUGCCUCCUUCAACAAAACCUUUCAAACCCAUUUUUCAAAAGCUUGCCAAGAAUCAAAACAACAAGAAUCGUCGGUAAUAAAUUAAAGAAUGGCAAAAUUAUGAGGUUUUCUUUUCUUUUUCAGGGAAAAGAAACAAAGCAACAAUCAGAGAAAGAAAGCUCUAAGAUUCUUUAAUGGGAAAUACAAGACCAGUUAGAAUUUGGGUUCAUCUCACUGGAAACCAGGAGAUG
rnacentral:misc_RNA from 1 species